GUAUAGGGAAAACUAAUUAAAUGUGAUGUACCYACUAAUAUUAGUAAUUAAUAUGAGAUUAACUAAGUUAAUUAAAAUUCAAAGUAGAUAUGUGAUUAUGACAAUAUNUGCUUAGGUCUUGACCAAAUCACGUGCCAGCAGUCGGUAAUACGUGAAAGACAAGUGUUAUUCAUCUUUARCAGGUUUAAAGGGUACCUAKACGGUUAAUUAAGCAACUANAUGUNCUAAUUAACUAGAGUUUUAUGUGAGAAGGAUAGAGCACGGCGAAGUGGAGAUAGAGAAAUGGAUUAGAUACCCUAGUAUUGUGGGCAGAAAAUGCUGAGUGUCAUAGACAAGAAUUUUUUUGUGUAUAAAUGAAAGUGUAAGCACUCCACCUCAAGAGUAACGUGGCAACAUGGGAACUGAAAUCAUUAGACCGUUUCUGAAACUCGUAGUGAAGUAUGUUAUUUAAUUUGAUACUCCACAAAUAACCUUACCACAAUUUGUAUAACUAGAAUACUAUAUAAGAUAGUUACAAGUGUUGCACGGCUGUCUUCAGUCAAUGUUGUGAAAUUUUGGUUGGAUCCAAAAAAUUGACGUAAACCCUUACUUUAUUUAUUAUAAAGUAGUUCGCCGCUAUAUUGGUAGUGAUAUAUGGGACUAGGACAAGU
rnacentral:rRNA from 2 species